UACGUAGGGGGCAAGCGUUAUCCGGAUUUACUGGGUGUAAAGGGAGCGUAGACGGCUGUGCAAGUCUGAAGUGAAAGCCCGCGGCUCAACCGCGGAAUUGCUUUGGAAACUGUAUAGCUUGAGUAUCGGAGGGGUAAGCGGAAUUCCUAGUGUAGCGGUGAAAUGCGUAGAUAUUAGGAGGAACACCGGUGGCGAAGGCGGCUUACUGGACGAUAACUGACGUUGAGGCUCGAAAGCGUGGGGAGCAAACAGG
rnacentral:rRNA from 1 species